rnacentral:rRNA from 1 species
CCUACGGGUGGCAGCAGUGAGGAAUAUUGGUCAAUGGACGCAAGUCUGAACCAGCCAUGCCGCGUGCAGGAAGACGGCCCUAUGAGUUGUAAACUGCUUUUGUACGGGGGUAAACGCAGAUACGAGUAUCUGUCUGAAAGUAUCGUACGAAUAAGGAUCGGCUAACUCCGUGCCAGCAGCCGCGGUAAUACGGAGGAUUCAAGCGUUAUCUGGAUUUAUUGGGUUUAAAGGGUGCGCAGGCGGUCGGAUAAGUUAGAGGUGAAAUCCCGAGGCUCAACGUCGGAAUUGCCUCUGAUACUGGUAGGCUAGAGAGUAGUUGAGGUAGGCGGAAUGCAUGGUGUAGCGGUGAAAUGCUGAGAGAUCAGACAGAAUACCGAUUGCGAAGGCAGCUUACCAGGCUACUUCUGACGCUGAGGCACGAAAGCGUGGGGAGCAAACAGGAUUAGAUACCCGUGUAGUC